AUGAUUCCUGGGUCAAUUCAUUGUUUCCAGUACUACUCCUGGUUCAAGUCAUUGCUUCCAGUAAUAGUCACAGUGAUAAUACAUGCUAAUAUUUUAUUUUUCCUGUAUUGUAUUGAGGGGAUGUGUCAGUUUCUCUCUGUUUCACUUCCAACUGUCUCUCUCUCUCUUUUCAUUCCUCUCCUUCUUUCUCCCCUCACCAAUGUAUAUUUAGACAUUUCCACCCAUUUGAACCACCCAUCAACGACAGGUUUGAGCCAGGUAAUGUUGUACUGUUGUUGUCCCCACAGGGAACCUGUGUCGCUGUACUGGUUACAGACCAAUUCUGGAGGGGUACAAGACAUUCACCAAAGAGAGGACGUGUUGUGGUGGCAAAGGGAAGAAAAACGGCUGCUGCAUGACCAACGAAGUAAAGACCAAAGGGUACACUGAUGAGAACGUAAACACACUCAUUCAAUAGCCAGUGUGCAGAGCCAUGGUUGACUGGUAACAUUGCUGGCACAAAUCAAAUGUACAAUUCUACAGCUACACGAUGUCUGGCUGCAUCACCACUUGUUAUGGCUACGCUUGGCAUUUUACCACAAGGCGUUUUAUCACUGGGGCUAAGCUUCCUGCCAUCCAGGACCUCUAUACCAGCCGGUGUCAGAGGAAAGCUCUAAAAAUGUUUAAAGACUCCAGCCACCCAAGUCAUAGACUGUUCUCUCCGCUACUGCACAGCAAGUAGUACCGAUGCACCAAGUCUGGAACCAACAGUACCCUGAACAGCGUAUACCCCCAAUAUUUCUAAAUAGUUAACCAAAUACAGUACAUUCAGAAAGUAUACAGUCCCCUUCACUUUUUCCACAUUUUGUUACAGCCGUAUUCUUGUGGUCUGGGAGUCAGGAAGCAAGUUCAGGGAAUGAAUAAUUUAAUAAAUGAACGAAACAUAAUACAAAACAAGAAACACAAACAGACAUGAAACUGAAACAAUAACGCCUGGGGAAGGAACCAAAGGGAGAGACAUAAAAAGGCAACCAAGGAGGUGAUGGAGUCCAGGUGAGUGUUAAUAAGCGCUGGUGCGCGUGACGAUGGUGAUAGGUGUGAGUAAUAAUCAGCAGUCUGGUGACCUAGAGGCCAGAGAGGGAGUAUACGUGACAAUUCAAAAAUGGAUUAAAUAGUUUUUUCCUGCCUCAUCAAUCUACACACAAUACCCCAUAAUGACAAAACAAAAAAACAAGUUAAGAAAUUUGUGCAAAUUUAUUACAAAUAAAAAAACUGAAAUAUCACUUUUGGUAGCGAUUACAGCCUCCAGUCUUCUUGAGCAUGACUCUACAAGUUUGGCACACCUGUAUUUGGGGAGUUUCUCCCAUUUUUCUCUGCAGGUCCUCUCAAGCUCUGUCAAACUCGAUGGGGAGCGUCGCUUCACAGCUAUUUUCAGGUCUCUCCAGAGAUGUUCGAUCAGGUUCAAGAACGGGCUCUGGCUGUCUGCUUAGGGUUGUUAUCCUGUUGGAAGGUGAACCGUCGCCCAGUCUGAGGUCCUGAGCGCUCCGGAGCAGGUUUUCAUCAAGGAUCUCUCUCUACUUUGCUCCGUUCAUCUUUCCCUCGAUUUCGACUAGUCUUCCAGUCCCUUCUGCUGAAAAACAUCCCCACAGCAUGAUGCUGCCACCUCCAUUCUUCACCGUAGGGAUUUAAAAAUGAUGAAGGCCACUGUGUUCUUGGGGACCUUCAAUGCUACAGACAUUUUUUGGUACCCUUCCCCAGAUCUGUGCCUCGACACAAUCCUGUCUCAGAGCUCUACGGACAAUUCUUUCAACCUCAUGGCUUGGUUUUUUGCUCUGACAUGCACUGUCAACUGUGGGACCUUAUAUAGACAGUUGUGUGCUUUUCCAAAUCAUGUUCCAAUCAGUUGAAUUUACCACAGGUGGACUCCAAUCAAGUUGUAGAAACAUCUCAAGGAUGAUCAAUGGAAACAGGAUACACCUGAGCUCAAUUUUGAGUCUCAUAGCAAAGAGUCUGAAUAUUUAUAUAAAAAGGUAUUUCAGUUGUUAUUUUUAAUACAUUGGCAAAAUGUUCUAAAAACCUGUUUUACCCUUUUUCAUUGUGGGGUAUUAUGUGUUGAUUGAUGAGGAAAAUGUUUUAUUUAAUUCAUUUUACAAUAAGGCUGUUACGUAACAAAAUGUGGAAACAGUAAAAGGGUCUGAAUACUUUCUGAAUGAACUGUAGCUACCUGGACACUCUGCAUUGACACGUUUUGUACUAACUUUUUUGAUUCAUCACAUACGCUGCUGCUACUGUCUAUUAUCUAUUCUGUUGCCUAGUCACUUUACCCCUACCUAAAUGUAGAUAUACCUCAUUUACCUCGGACCCCUGCACAUCGACUCGGUACUGGUACCCCGUGGAUAUAGCUAAGUUAUCAUUACUCAUUGUGUUUUUAUUAUCUUCCUAAUAUUUUUCUAUUUUUCUCUAUGCUUUGUUGGUAAGGCUCUGUCAGUAAACAUUUCAUUGUUAGUCUACACCUGAUGUUUAUGAAGCAUAUGAGAAAUCCAAUGUGAUGUGAUACAGGAGGACAUGGACAACAGCGUAGAGCUAACGACUCUACAGUACACCAAACCCAAUUCAUUUGAUUAUAUACACUGCUGUUUGCAACCCGAUAGCAAUACAGUUGAAAUGGAACUGACUUAUAAUUAACCUCAACAGUCAUAAACUAUCUGUAACAUUUACUGUACGCACUUUAAUACCUCGGGACGGCUGGCGGGGCAUAUCUAUCCAGGACAUUCUAAACCAUUUUGCUUUCGGUUUGUUGCUUUAGACUGUUGCUUUAUCUCCUCUAAUGGUAACAGUCAGUACUAUACUCUAUAUGGCUAAUAAGGAUUUGAGGAAUGUAAAAUAAGCCUAUAUUUACAAAGCAUCUCAGAGUUUGAGUGCUGAUCUAGGAUCUGUCCAUAUAGUCUCAUUCAUUAAGAUUUAAAUGGCAAACCUGAUCCUAGAUCCGCACUCCUACUCUGAGAUGCUUUGUGGAUAUGGACCCUGAUCCUAGAUCUGUGUCUUGGAAUAAAUUAGGAUGUCACGUCCUGACCAUUGAGUGCUCUUAUUUUCUAUGGUAGAGUAGGUCAGGGCGUGACUGGGGGGGUUUAUCUAGUUUCUUUUUUCUAUGUUGUGUUCUAGUUCCUUUUUUCUAUGUGGGGUUUUUGUUUGAUUCCCAAUUAGAGGCAGCUUGUCAUCGUUGUCUCUAAUUGGGGAUCAUAUUUAAGUAGUUGUUUUUCCCCACCGGUGUGUGUGGGAGAUUAUUUUGAAUUAGUGCAUGGUGCACGGCUGUCGUCACGGUUUGUUUAUAGUUUGUUUGGCUAAGUUUCACAAUAUAAUAAAGCUGUGGAACGAUGCGCACGCCGCGCCUUGGUCCGUUCCUACACACAUGCGUGACAUAGGAUUUGUGGAAAAGCUGAAAGCUGAUCCUAGAGCUCUGUCUAUGAGUAACAUUUGAAUGCAUUGCGUGAGAAGGAACUAAAGUAAAUUAAAUCUUAUUUUGAUCACUCUGUUGUUGCAGGACAUGAAAACUUGCAGUUUAUUCAAGGUUUAAACAGAUUCUUAAGUUGGUAAUUUCUGAUUUGAUUUCCCCUAACUAAAAAUAUACCAAAAUAUCCAUUAAUUAUAAUCCGCACAAUAAAUCAGAUUUCCUGUUGCUGCAAGAUUAUUUUCCUGCUGUGAGAAACUGAUACAAUUAAUAUCUGGAGACUUAUUU
rnacentral:lncRNA from 8 species